UACGUAGGGGGCAAGCGUUGUCCGGAAUUAUUGGGCGUAAAGAGCUCGUAGGCGGUCUGUCACGUCUGCUGUGAAAACUCGGGGCUUAACCCCGGGCCUGCAGUGGGUACGGGGCAGACUAGAGUGCGGUAGGGGAGACUGGAAUUCCUGGUGUAGCGGUGAAAUGCGCAGAUAUCGGGAGGAACACCGGUGGCGAAGGCGGUUCUCUGGGCCUGUACUGACGCUGAGGAGCGAAAGCAUGGGGAGCGAACAGG
rnacentral:rRNA from 1 species